rnacentral:rRNA from 1 species
AGCAGCCGCGGUAAUUCCAGCUCCAAUAGCGUAUAUUAAAGUUGUUGCAGUUAAAAAGCUCGUAGUUGAAUUUCGGGAUUGACACAUCGGUCGUGCCUUAAGGGGUAUGAACUGGUGUAGUCAAUUUCUCACCUUCUGGAGAACCGCGAUGCCCUUAAUUGGGUGUCGCGGGGAACCAGGACCUUUACUUUGAAAAAAUUAGAGUGUUUAAAGCAGGCAUUUUGCUUGAAUACAUUAGCAUGGAAUAAUAAAAUAGGACGGCAUGAUUCUAUUUUGUUGGUUUCUAGGAUCACCGUAAUGAUUAAUAGGGAUAGUUGGGGGCAUUAGUAUUCAAUUGUCAGAGGUGAAAUUCUUGGAUUUAUUGAAGACUAACUACUGCGAAAGCAUUUGCCAAGGAUGUUUUCAUUAAUCAAGAACGAAAGUUAGGGGAUCGAAGACGAUCAGAUACCGUCGUAGUCUUAACCAUAAACUAUGCCGACUAGGAAUCAGACGAUGUUAAUUUUUAAUGACUCGUUUGGCA